AGGCCAUCCGUCAGGUCGCUUGUGGAGCUGAUUUCACUGCCUGUGUCACUGGUCUGUCUGUGUGGAGCACUACUCCAGUAGAAUAGGAUGUUUACAGUGGGAGGGCUCGGUUUCUGUCUUUUUACAACACCAAUACAAUUCAGACAGAUUUGGUCUAGUUUGACAACAUGCUGUUUCGUUUCAGAUGAGGACCUGAUGUACAUGUUUGGUUCUGACUGCUAUGGCUGUAUUGGAGUGGAGAACGAGCAGGGGAUGUAGGUGCUAGAGCCUGUGCUGUUGGAAUUCUUAGAGGUGUGGCCUGUCAGGCAGGUGUCCUGUGCAGACAACCAUGUGGUGGUGCUGACCCACAGGGGAGACAUCUACUCCUGGGGCUGUGGAGAGCCCGAUGGAGCUAUGAUGAAGGACAUAAUUCCUUUAUGAAGUUGGCCUUUUCCUCAGUCUUGGCCAGGACUGUGAGGAUGACUAUAACUCCCUCAUGCAAGUGGAGAUUCCCAAAUGAGCCAGUAUCUCAUCUGUGGCCUUGAUGGAACCUUCUGGCAAAGUCCUGGCCUGUGGGAACAACAAUCAACCUUAAACCUUCCUGGAGAGGCUGAUGACCUUUGGCUGCAAAAAAUUAUGGUCAGCUUGGUGUGAAGGACUUCAAGAAGCACCAGGGCAUCCAGCUCUUGUUGGGGUCUUUUGGGGGAGGGGAGGUGGUCAGCAAAGUGUCCUGCGGACACCAUCGCAGCCACAGAGGGUCAGAAAAACAACUAAACUUCAACAUUCUCUGUUGCAGCAUGUUGUUGAAUAUGCUGUUUAAUGUGUGUAUGCAGCUUAGAGUUGUGGUGCUUGUUUUUUUUCUUUGCUUUAUUCUGUUAGCAGGGAGUCCUCUGCUCUGAGCUACAAAAGUAGGACUCAAUCUAAUGGAGUACCGGUAGAUUCCCUGUUUAGGUUCUAGAAGGAUAUUGGCUAAUAUCUUAUCCUUUCAGACAGUCAGAUCUUUGCCUGGGGAAAAGCAGGAAACGGAUGCCUGGGAAUGCUUUACCACAACCCAUUUUAGGCUCCCUCCACCAUGUGCCAUACCACUCCUGUCACGGCUGGCACACCAUUCUCAUCAUGGGUUAGCCACUAAACUUCUGUUCUAACACCAGC
ensembl:lncRNA